CCCAAUAUCAUAAAAACUACUGUGAUAUCAUGUACUAAUGUUAUAUAUACGUACACACACACACACAUAUAUAUAUAUAUAUAUAUGCAUGCCCAGGUAGAUUCGUACUGAUCAAAUGGACGUUAGAAUUUGUCAAUGAAAGGGCUGCUGCUAAUCAAACAAAAUUCAGAAGUUUAGGGUUUAAUUGAGUGGAAACUUUAUACAAUGACUUGUAAUCUUGUUGAUUGAUGAAGUAAUAACACCAUAGAUAAUAUAUUACAACAUUAUCAAUGUUAUUAUUGAUAAAACUCAACGAGAAUAAAAUAAUAUAAAAAUAAAUUCGAAGAACCAGAAGAUAAAAAAUUAGAUAUUAAUAUAAAAUUUUCAAACUAACUGUUCAGUUUUAAAUAAACAAAAUAAUGUGCAUAAAUUUCUUACAAAUUAUGUAUAACAUUUAUCAGUCAUUUGAGAUAAUAAGUAUAAUUAAUAAUUAUGAUAAAAAUAAAUAAAUAUUAAAUUAAAUUUAAAAUUUUAAUUAUUAUAAAAUAAAGAAUAAUAGAUCCACAAAUUAAGGAGUUAGAGAUUGUAGAUUCAAACUUUAAAAUGUAUUUCUUGGAAAGAGGAACAGGAAGGAGUAAAUGUAAAAGUGAGGUAGAGGCUACAGAAUGGUCUGGAAGGAUGUAAAAAACUGACAAGGACAAUACUUACCUCUGCCUCCUACAUUUUCUUCUUUUGCUUCUUUGCUUUUCGGAAGAGGAUC
rnacentral:lncRNA from 1 species